GCCUCACCUCAGCGGGCGGCGGCAGCUCCCCCCGCCCUGAGGCGGACAGGUGCGGAGCCCUGGGAGCGGCCGUAGAGCAUAGCAGAAGGCAGUACAGUAACGUAGCAAGAGGACUGCUUCCACAGACAGCUUAGCCGGUGAAGAACUAAAUAGAACACCAAACAGUCACCUCACGGGAGGAUUUAUUAGCAAGGAACUCUUUGUACAUCCACAAAUGCAAUGGGCAACGCAGGUGGAAGCAGUGCACGCCAGUCUCCAUUUAAUCAUUCAGGUACCUCUUACAAACCCUGCUGUUUGUUGGUCUCCACUCUCUAGUGCUAUUGAUUUCAAGACACCGAAGUUUUUCUGUGGAACUCAAAGAGUCUUUUUGUUGUUGUUCAUUCAAAUUAAAAGUGCAUUUGGCAGAUACAAAGAGGACAUCUGGCUUUCCCUGGGAGGGGAGUAGCCCAUCCUGCUUGCUACAGUGGUGAAGAUAUGAUAACAUGACACAAAAGAAUUAAGGUCCCAAGUGAGGCCAUGGAAGCAUGCUGCAGUCUUCCUGGAGGAGUAGGAGUCACAGGAAGUCUGUAGCACUACUCCUAGUGCACACAAAUUCCUUGCUGCCAUAGUUUGGAAGCAGCAGGAAGUGACUAACACCUUCCAAUUCACACUCAAAGCUUUCCAGAGGAAAAGGAAAUGGUUGGUUCUCCGGACUGCACUGCUCUUGCAUUGCGGUUCCUCUUUGUACAUCAAAGAGCCACACACAUUAACCUGCCCCGCAUUGCCCCUUGGCUGCUCCACCUUGCUGCUGGCUUCAGCAACACAUCAUUUGCAUGGAAAAUGAUGCAAAGCAGUUGUUGAUUUUUUGCUUUAAUUAAUUGCAGAGCUGGGUACUGCUCUAUGUAAACAAGC
ensembl:lncRNA